rnacentral:rRNA from 1 species
AUUGAACGCUGGCGGCAGGCUUAACACAUGCAAGUCGAGCGGGGUGAUGGUGCUUGCACUAUCACUUAGCGGCGGACGGGUGAGUAAUGCUUAGGAAUCUGCCUAUUAGUGGGGGACAACAUCUCGAAAGGGAUGCUAAUACCGCAUACGUCCUACGGGAGAAAGCAGGGGAUCACUUGUGACCUUGCGCUAAUAGAUGAGCCUAAGUCGGAUUAGCGAGUUGGUGGGGUAAAGGCAUACCAAGGCGACGAUCUGUAGCGGGUCUGAGAGGAUGAUCCGCCAAACUGGGACUGAAACACGGCCCAGACUCCUACGGGAGGCAGCAGUGGGGAAUAUUGGACAAUGGGGGGAACCUUGAUCCAGCCAUGCCGCGUGUGUGAAGAAGGCCUUAUGGUUGUAAAGCACCUUAAGCGAGGAGGAGGCUCUUUUGGUUAAUACCCAAGAUGAGUGGACGUGACUCGCAGAAUAAGCACCGGCUAACUCUGUGCCAGCCGCCGCCGUAA